rnacentral:misc_RNA from 1 species
GUGUGUGUGUGUGUGUGUUUAAUUUUAAUUUUCUUAAUGUACCAUUUAUCAUUUCAACAUGGGUUUAAUAACCUAUUUGACCAUUUUCUUUUGGCCUAUUGGGUUAGGGCUAGAAAAUAGAGGGUAGUCCUCAAUGACCUCUGCCUGAAAAAAUAGGUCUGGAUAUGAGAAUGAUUAGCAAAGUCAUGGCGCAUCAAGCAUGCAUGAAUUAAUUCUUAAACAACUUUACUUUAGAAGACUUGUUCCUUGCAUUUUUGGUUUGAUAUGCAGAUCUUAUCAUCUUUUUUCAAUGUAG